GAUAAAAGGUGACAAAUGCCAUGACAAACACAAAAAACAAGAGUUUGAUUUCGUCAGGACAAUAGUUAAAGAAGCCUCAAAUAGUGUAUUUUUUCCAGUCUUUACUUUAAAGAUCUGCUAAAGAGAACGUCCCAAGCCAGUUCUGUUGAAAGAGAUGUAAUAUGGAUCAAUAAUAAAGUCUGAUUCCACAGGAUGGAGUUUUGUUAUUCAACUGAAAGAAAUAUGACUAAAAGAGGAUGUGAACAUGCUGUAAACAAUGACAAUUGUAACAUAUACAUGUAUACUAUGUGUUACAGAUACAUGUACAUUUACUCAUUAUAAUAACUCUGAUUAUGACAACUAAUAAUGAUAAUCUAAUAAAAAAAAAUCUUUUCUUAUUGCAUAGUUUUUAUCAACAUUAUAAACAGGGGCUUUAUUUUGU